UUCUCUGUGACACCUGGUGCCAAGAGGAUUCCUCUUAUUUCAGGAGCUGCAUAAGCCACAGUGACUCAUUCACCUGGGAACUGGGCAUUUUGUAGAUAAUCCACUUUGCCUCUUAACUGUUCUAAUGUGUUAAAGUGAUGUUACCUCCUUCCUUGCAAUCCCCUGUUAUGAGGAGAAGUUGGGCUCCUCAGGGAAGGAGAAAGGAAUUUCAUUUACUGAGCACCUGCUGGAGGUGACCUGAGGCCCUGCAAUGCACGCAUGACUGAAUUCGUUUUCUAUGGAGACUCUUUUAACCAGAUGUGGGCAAGGUGAUCCCCAGGAUUGGCUGCAGCUAGAGCCUCCUGCUGUCACUGUUGUAUCGUAUUCCACUGGACGCCAAGUCCAUUCUUGUCCACAUGCACACUAGGACAAGGGGAGGAAAAAUCAAUGAAGGUGUUUACCAGAGGAACAAAGGUACUUCUUUACGGUGUGUGUUUAGGAAAAAGAAAUCACCAGAAUGGCCUCCCUGGUGGUGCAAAGGGUUAAGCAACGUACCAUGAAGCAAUCUGCAGCCUCUGCAGCACGAGUUCAAUCCCCGGCCGGCCAAGGAGAAACCCACAUGGUACAGCAGACCUCUUCUGCCUUACCCGCUGGUCCCCUCAGCAGCGUACUUCAGUCAGUCUGCCUGUUCUGUUCCCACCUCUGUCUCUAGUGAAUCCUCUCAUCCCCAACACCUCUGGCUUGUGCCCCAGCUAUUG